rnacentral:rRNA from 1 species
ACGCACGCUGGCGGCGUGCUUAACACAUGCAAGUCGAACGGAAAGGCCCUGCUUUUGUGGGGUGCUCGAGUGGCGAACGGGUGAGUAACACGUGAGUAACCUGCCCUUGGCUUUGGGAUAACUUCAGGAAACUGGGGCUAAUACCGGAUAGGAGCUCCUGCUGCAUGGUGGGGGUUGGAAAGUUUCGGCGGUUGGGGAUGGACUCGCGGCUUAUCAGCUUGUUGGUGGGGUAGUGGCUUACCAAGGCUUUGACGGGUAGCCGGCCUGAGAGGGUGACCGGCCACAUUGGGACUGAGAUACGGCCCAGACUCCUACGGGAGGCAGCAGUGGGGAAUAUUGCACAAUGGGCGGAAGCCUGAUGCAGCAACGCCGCGUGCGGGAUGACGGCCUUCGGGUUGUAAACCGCUUUCGCCUGUGACGAAGCGUGAGUGACGGUAAUGGGUAAAGAAGCACCGGCUAACUACGUG